rnacentral:rRNA from 1 species
AUGAACGCUGGCGGCGUGCCUCAUACCUGCAAGUCGAGCGCACAGACGAGGAGCUUGCUCCUCUGACGUUAGCGGCGGACGGGUGAGUAACACGUGGAUAACCUACCUAUAAGACUGGGAUAACUUCGGGAAACCGGAGCUAAUACCGGAUAAUAUAUUGAACCGCAUGGUUCAAUAGUGAAAGACGGUUUUGCUGUCACUUAUAGAUGGAUCCGCGCCGCAUUAGCUAGUUGGUAAGGUAACGGCUUACCAAGGCAACGAUGCGUAGCCGACCUGAGAGGGUGAUCGGCCACACUGGAACUGAGACACGGUCCAGACUCCUACGGGAGGCAGCAGUAGGGAAUCUUCCGCAAUGGGCGAAAGCCUGGCGGAGCAACGCCGCGUGAGUGAUGAAGGUCUUCGGAUCGUAAAACUCUGUUAUUAGGGAAGAACAAAUGUGUAAGUAACUAUGCACGUCUUGACGGUACCUAAUCAGAAAGCCACGGCUAACUACGUG